ensembl:lncRNA
GCCCUUUUCAUGGCGGUGGUGUACACGCUCCCAACAUGCUAGGACAUGAUAGGACCAGACAGCUGCCAUGUUCAAUGGGGCCUAAUGGCACAGUGGUUUAACAGUUGAGGAAUACAAGGAUUGUCCUGCAGGGAUAUAUAAUCGAAAUAUUGACGCACUGUACUGUAUGUUAUGGUAAUGGUAUAAUGUAUGUAGGCCUACUGUACACCUAUGACUUUUGGACAAAAAUAGCUACAGUACUAGACUAUAGUAAUGGCUCAUUGAUUUUCAAUGUAACUGAAUUAUGUUUCUGCAAACGAUGGUCCAUAGCCAGGCAUGUUCAGUGGUUGGGAAACACUGAAAAACAUACCUGCAUUUGUGAAACGAGUGAAAGAAGUAUUGCGCCUUAGAAAUAAGGAAAGGCCUAACACCUCGACAUUAAACGGGAACACAAAUUGUUUUCCAUCGCGAAACGUUUGGCAAUGCUGUAGGUGACCCACGACGUCCAACAGACCGAGGAAAAGGUCCCAUGUGUUAAAGACACUGAGAGGCUUUGUCUCCUCCGCCAUCAAUACAAGCAUACAUGAAGCCCUCAUGCCCGGCCUCGCCGUGGGCCGUCUCACUACAGCCCACCGUAGCCUAAGCUUGCAGGAGACAGCGCAGGAAAGCUCCAAGCCAUGGUUACUCCCACCGAUAUCCAGCUGGGCAGCAGACUCAUAGGAUCCCCAGGAUCCAGGGCUAAGUGGAAGAGAACUACUCCUCACCCUCAAUUAACGAUUCGGAGGUCUACAUCGGCUGUGUUUAAAUAUGAAGCACGUUCAUGCGACAGGGAUAUUAUCUAGCGUCAUUCAGCAAUUCGGCGCUAAGAGCACCAGAGCUGGCCACACAGCGGGGAACAUGGCCACAGACCCUAUGAAGUGUAGCUGUAUCCUUUGUUGGGGCACUGUGCGCCAGUAGUGAUUGGGGAAAUGCCUCAGUACACCGGGGGUAGUAUGACACGCAUUAGCGGUACUAGGUGGUGGGCUUUGAGGGGGUCUCUGGAACCCGCAUGGUCGUAGGCCCACCCACAUGGGUGGAGCCCAUGAGCUCAGAUAUGCAAUCACCUUUCAUUAUGACACAGAGAAGCCCCCCCCACGGACGAUGAAUGUGGGCAGGCACUUCAAUUCCAGCCACCCUCUGUGUUUGCCAUGCAAGUCAUUGACGUCCGACUCGAUUCAUCUAGUAUUGUAAUGAAUGCGGUAUUGAUAGAUGUCACUGUACUUUUCAGCUGCUCCGUUUCUGAACCCAUAACUAGGCCUAGAUCUAACGCGACAUGGAUCUAAAGAUGGCCCUGAG